rnacentral:rRNA from 1 species
CACGUAGGGGGCGAGCGUUGUCCGGAUUCAUUGGGCGUAAAGCGCGCGCAGGCGGCUCGGAAAGUCGGGCGUGAAAACUCGGGGCUCAACCCCGGGCGUGCAUCCGAUACUGCCGGGCUUGAGGCAGGUAGGGGAGAUCGGAAUUCCUGGUGUAGCGGUGAAAUGCGCAGAUAUCAGGAGGAACACCGGUGGCGAAGGCGGAUCUCUGGGCCUGUCCUGACGCUGAGGCGCGAAAGCUAGGGGAGCGAACAGG